ACUUCUUCACUCUACAUAUAUAGCAAAAACCCAAGAUUUUUAUUUAAUUAUUCUCAAUAUCUACGAUGAUGAACAUAUUGAAAAGUCUAGCGAUCAUUUCCGUUCUCGGAAUAUUCUUUAUACCUCGUUAUUCUGAAUCCGCAAUAUCUUGCAGUGUUGUGAUACAGGAUUUGCAGCCAUGUGUGAGCUACUUGACCAGCGGAAGUGGAAAGCCUCCGGAUACUUGUUGCAAAGGUGUUAAGAGUUUAGCGGCUGCGACCACCACAUCAGCCGAUAAGAAAGCGGCUUGCCAAUGCAUCAAAUCAGUGGCCAAUAGUGUUACCGUGAAGACUGAAUUGGCUCAAGCCCUUGCUAGCAAUUGUGGUGCGAGCUUGCCCGUUGAUGCAUCCCCUACUGUCGACUGCACUACGGUUGGUUGAGAUAUUCUCCCAUCGAUCAAUGGUCCAUCUUUUCCUAGUAUGCAAUUUAAAUCAAUAAAUCCCCCCCACCCCCAAUAUAAUAUAUUUAGGCGAAUGUGUAUACUUACGUACAUACACAUGUUGUAAGAUGAUUGAAUCCGAUGAAGGUGUUAACGUAGAAGAGACAAGAGACAAGAGACACAAAUUUUUUAACGAGGUUCAGCAAAUGCCUACGUCCUCGAACUUUGUUGAAAAUACUUAUUGAACACAAUUACAAUUAGUGUUAAAUAUCAAUUGUACACAACCCUAAGAUCUUCUUUUAGCUUGUACCGAUCUAUGUCCAACCCAAUCAGAGAUCCCUAAGAUCAACAACAAUGAUCUGUACCUAGGAUUCUCACUUAGAAAACAAAACCCUCAUCAUUUUUUCCCCAAAAAUGCCAAAAGGCAACAAGGGGUUUUCUCUU